CAGCACAGCCACAUGAUGUUUCAAAAAGUCCAAGUGGAACCUCUUCGGAAAGAUGCCCCACCAUUGGCAGAGGCUGUGACCUUUUUCCUCAGAUUCCCAAUCCUGCUCUGAGUUACUCUAAUGAAAACAACAGAAGAAAUACAAGAAAGAUUCUAACAUAGAAAAAAAUGUUCAACCUCACUGAAAACCUGUGUACUCGGCAGCCAACUUAAGAAACAGAAACUUUGAUGGCAGAGGUGGGCGGAUUACUUAAGACCAGGAGUUCGAGACCAGCCUGGCCAACAUGGUGAAACUCCAUCUCUACUAAAAUUACAAAAAUUAGCUGGGUGUGGUGGUGCAUGCUUGUAAUCCCAGCUACUUGGGAGGCUGAGGCAGAAGAACCACUUGAACCCAGGAGGCUGAGCUUGCAGUGAUCUGAGAUCCUGCCACUGCACUCCUGCCUUGGCAACAGAAUGAGACACUGUCUCAAAACAAAACAAAAAAAGAAAUAGAAACUUUGCAUCUUUCUCUCCCAUUCCAAUUAAUUACUAUACUGAAGUUUGUAUUAGUAAAUCCUUUGAUUUUCAUUAGUUUGUGUAUCCUUAUUGCUUAAGCAAUAUAUUGUUUAGUUUUGCCUCUUUUUUACCUUUACUGUAUUUUUACUCUUACUAAAUAUAUAUUUCUAUGUCUUGCUUUUUACACUCAAUAUUGUUUGAAGCUUGUCUGUGUUGAUGCAUGUAACUGUAGUCUGCCCAUUUUCCUUGAUGGAUAGCAUUCCGAUAUGUAAAUUACCAACUUGCUCGGAGGUGCAGCCAUUAAAUCCUCAUUUUGAGCAAUCACCCCAAGUAAGACUGAUGCAGGUGGACUUUUGCUCACACUUCGGGAAUUACUGUCUUAGAGGACACAGUCCGAGCUCUUACCUCCCAGUUUCCCAAGUCUCUACAUCAGCCUUUUAAUUUUAGUAGAACUGUUUGUUUUCCUUUUCCAAAAAUAUUUUCUCAUCAUUCUUCGCCUAGAUAAUUCUUAUGCUUUAAGUCUCUCCAUUAAGCUAUAAACUCCUCCAAACAUUGUCAUUAUUAUCAUUGUUGUCACUGACAUUUAUGGAGCAGAUACAGUGUACCAGGUAGUUAGUACAAAGAGUUUUACAUGGAUCAUCUCAUUAAUGCUCGUCCAAACCCAUGAAAAAGGUGCUGGGAUUAGCAUCAUUUUACAGAUAAGGAAGUAAGGGUCAGAGAGAUUAAGUAACUUGCCCAAAGUUAAACAGCUCUGGAAUGUGGAUCUCUUUAACUAUCUUACUUGUCUCUGAACCUCUAGGAUCUAGGGUAGGACUUUGGUGUGUGGAAGGCACUUGAUUAAUGUCUGUUGAGCUGCACUGAAAGGAAAAGCCAAGGAGACCAGAUGGAAAACAAUCCGUUUAGUUCAGAUGAUGGCAGUGGGGAUGGAAAAGAGGAGCUGGAAAUAAGACUUGGCAUGACAGACUAUUACAUAGCUGAAUCUGGGGCGUGAGGUUAGGGCAGGGAAUGAGGAAGGGACAAGGCAUUUCCAUUUUUUCACUUUGAGCACUUCUGUAUUUUCUGGAAAUGUUUACAACAAGCACGUGGUGCUUUAAUAAUUUUUUUUAAAGAAGAGAAAGUGUAGAGGCAGCAACUACAUGACUAGGCACCAGCAAAAUAUAGAAAAAAAAGGACAAAAAGAAAUCCAAGCUGACCAGCAGGCUUCUGGCAAGGCAAUGUAGGAGAAUGGGGAAUUGAAGGCAGAAAGAGAAAUGCCUGGGGGAAUGCUUCCGGGGGAGAUACUGACUGUAAUUUGGAGAGUCUGCUUUUGGGAAGCAGCAGGUCAUUCUGGGGAGGUCUCCACCAAGUAGCUAGACUUGUAGGUCUGAAAUUCAGGAGAGAGGUUGAGCCAGACCCAUGCUCUGAGAAAUGAUGGUUGAAGUCAUAAGCUAAAUGUGCGGAGCAAAAAAGAAAGAAGAAAGAAGACCUCAACCAAAGUGUUGACAGGGUCAGGCAUAUCUGAGUGGAAGAAGAAGAGGAGCCAGAAAUGUAGGAGAAUCAUCUCUCAACCUCAUAGUCACCAAUGGAAAAGAUAAUUUUUUUAAAAAGGCAUAUGGGCCUGGUGCAGUAGCUCACACCUGUAAUCCCAGCGCUUUGGGAGGCCAAGGUGGGAGAGUUGCUUGAGGUCAGGAGUUCAAGACCAGCCUGGGCAACAUAGGGGAACCCUGUCUCUAGCAAAGUUAUUAUUAUUAUUAUUAUUAUUAUUAUUGGAGAUGGAGUUUCGCUCUUGUCACCUGGGCUGGAGUGCAAUGACACGAUCUCAGCUCACUGCAACCUCCGCCUCCCAGGUUCAAGUGAUUCUCCUGCCUCAGCCUCCCGAGUAGCUGGGAUCACAGGCGCCCACGACCACGCCUGGCUAAUUUUUGUACUUUUACUAGAGACGGGGUUUCACCAUAUUAGCCAUGCUGGUCUCAAACUCCUGACCUCAGGUGAUCCACUCGCCUGGACCUCCCAAAGUGCUGGGAUUACAAGCAUGAGCCACCACACCUGGCCUCUACCAAAAAUUUUAAAAGGCCGGGCUUGGUGGCAUGUGCCUGUAGUCCUAGCUGUUACUCAGGAGGCUGAGACAGGAGGAUUGCUUGAGUCUGGGAGGUUGAGGCUGCAGUGAGCCAUGAUCGCACCACUGCUCUCCAGCCUCAGCAAAAGAAUGAGACCCCAUCUCUAAAAAAUAAUAAACAUAUGUAAAUGGCAUCAAACAGUAAAGAGUUGUUGAAUCAGAAGAAGACUAACAAGAGGCCUUCAGAUGUGGAAAUUAAGUCUUUUUUUUUUUUUAAGAGACAAGUUCUAGCUCUGUCACGCAAUCUGGAGUACGGUGG
rnacentral:lncRNA from 1 species